rnacentral:rRNA from 1 species
GAUGAACGCUGGCGGCGUGCCUAAUACAUGCAAGUCGAGCGAAUGGAUUGAGAGCUUGCUCUUAUGAAGUUAGCGGCGGACGGGUGAGUAACACGUGGGUAACCUGCCCAUAAGACUGGGAUAACUCCGGGAAACCGGGGCUAAUACCGGAUAACAUUUUGAACCGCAUGGUUCGAAAUUGAAAGGCGGCUUCGGCUGUCACUUAUGGAUGGACCCGCGUCGCAUUAGCUAGCUGGUGAGGUAACGGGUCACCAAGGCAACGAUGCGUAGCCGACCUGAGAGGGUGAUCGGCCACACUGGGACUGAGACACGGCCCAGACUCCUACGGGAGGCAGCAGUAGGGAAUCUUCCGCAAUGGACGAAAGUCUGACGGAGCAACGCCGCGUGAGUGAUGAAGGCUUUCGGGUCGUAAAACUCUGUUGUUAGGGAAGAACAAGUGCUAGUUGAAUAAGCUGGCACCUUGACGGUACCUAACCAGAAAGCCACGGCUAACUACGUGCCAGCCGCCGCUGUAA